UUACUACAAUAGCAUGUCUAUGCAAUGCACACAAUAACACGUAAAACUAAAAACGUAAAACGAGGAUUUAAUAAUGAUGAGGAUAAAAUAGACUUUAUUAAAUGUAAAUUAAUAAGCAAUAACAAUUACAAGUCAGUUUCAGAAGUCAUACAUUUUAAACAUGUAACAGUAACUUCACCGGACAACGUAGAUGCAUCAUGAUCGGUUAACACGAGUAAUGAUCGAUUCAUAAAAGCAUGAUAAGCAAUACAAGCUUCAACAACCAUACCAAACAACAUAUACUAGCAUUAUAGCAGGUAAACAACUUUGCCAAACGGAUAACAGAUAAACAUUAAUCUAGACUACAAAAGAUGCUGAACUGUGUGAGUGUUCCUGAACUGAGUUGAACAGCGUAGUUAGUUUCUCCAGCCAGAACAUGAGACAGCUGGUGCCGUGUCAAAGUAUGUUCCCCCUAUGUUUCGCGUUAGGUUAGUGUCGAAGUCUGUUCCCCAUAGGUUUCCCCUUAGGUUAGUGUCGAAAUCUGCUCCCCCUAUGUUUCCCCUUAGGUUAGUGUCGAAGUCUGCUCCCCCCAUGUUUCCCUUUAGGUUAGUGUCGAUGUCUGCUCCCCCUAUGUUUCCCCUUAGGUCAGAGUCGAAGUCUGUUUCCCCUCAGGUUAGUGUCGAAGUCUGUUCCCCCCAUGUUUCCCCUUAGGUUAUUGUUGAAAUCUGCUCCCCCCAUGUUUCCCCUUAGGUUAGUGUUGAAGUCUGCUCCCCCUAUGUUUCCCCUUAGGUCAGAGUCGAAGUCUGUUUCCCCUUAGGUUAGUGUCGAAGUCUGUUCCCCCUAUGUUUCCCCUUAGGUUAGUGUCGAAAUCUGCUCCCCCUAUGUUUCCCCUUAGGUUAGUGUCGAAAUCUGCUCCCCCCAUGUUUCCCCUUAGGUUAGUGUCGAAGUCUGCUCCCCCUAUGUUUCCCCUUAGGUUAGUGUCGAAGUCUGUUCCCCCUAUGUUUCCCCUUAGGUUAGUGUCGAAAUCUGCUCCCCCCAUGUUUCCCUUUAGGUUAGUGUCGAUGUCUGCUCCCCCCAUUUUUGCCUAAGGUUAGUGUCGAAGUCUGUUCCCCCCAUGUUUCCCCUUAGGUCAGAGUCGAAGUCUGUUUCCCCUCAGGUUAGUGUCGAAGUCUGUUCCCCCCAUGUUUCCCCUUAGGUUAUUGUUGAAAUCUGCUCCCCCCAUGUUUCCCUUUAGGUUAGUGUCGAUGUCUGCUCCCCCCAUUUUUGCCUAAGGUUAGUGUCGAAGUCUGUUCCCCCCAUGUUUCCCCUUAGGUCAGAGUCGAAGUCUGUUUCCCCUCAGGUUAGUGUCGAAGUCUGUUCCCCCCAUGUUUCCCCUUAGGUUAGUGUUGAAAUCUGCUCCCCCCAUGUUUCCCCUUAGGUCAGAGUCGAAGUCUGUUUCCCCUUAGGUUAGUGUCGAAGUCUGUUCCCCCUAUGUUUCCCCUUAGGUUAGUGUCGAAAUCUGCUCCCCCUAUGUUUCCCCUUAGGUUAGUGUCGAAAUCUGCUCCCCCCAUGUUUCCCCUUAGGUUAGUGUCGAAGUCUGUUCCCCCUAUGUUUCCCCUUAGGUUAGUGUCGAAAUCUGCUCCCCCCAUGUUUCCCCUUAGGUUAGUGUCGAAGUCUGUUCCCCCUAUGUUUCCCCUUAGGUCAGAGUCGAAGUCUGUUCCCCCUAUGUUUCCCCUUAGGUCAGAGUCGAAGUCUGUUUCCCCUUAGGUUAGUGUCGAAGUCUGUUCCCCCUACGUUUCCCCUUAGGUUAGUGUCGAAAUCUGCUCCCCCUACGUUUCCCCUUAGGUCAGUGUCGAAGUCUGCUCCCCCUAUGUUUCCCCUUAGGUUAGGGUCGAAAUCUGCUCCCCCCAUGUUUCCCCUUAGGUUAGUGUCUAAGUCUGUUCCUCCCAUGUUUAAUAAUGAUGGGGAUAAAAUAUACUUUAUUAAACAUAAGCUGAAAUAUGCAAUAUAACAAGUCAGUUUCAGAAGUUAUACAUUUUAAACAUGUAACAGUAACUUCACCGGACAACGUAGAUGCAUCGUGAUCGGUUAACACAUGAGUAAUGAUCGAUUCAUAAAAGCAUAAGCAAUAUAAGCUUCAACAACCAUACCAAACAACAUAUACUAGCAUUAUAGCAGGUAAACAACUUUGCCAAACGGAUAACAGAUAAACAUUCAUCUAGACUACAAAGAUGCUGAACUGUGUGAGUGUUCCUGAACUGAGUUGAACAGUGUAGUUAGUUUCUCCAGCCAGAACAUGAGACAGCUGGUGCUGUGUCAAAGUAUGUUCCCCCUAUAUUUUGCCUUAGGUUAAUGUCGAAGUCUGUUCCCCCAUGUUUCCCCUUAGGAUAGAGUCGAAGUCUGUUUCCCAUAUGUUUAAUAAUGAUGGGGAUAAAAUAUACUUUAUUAAACAUAAAUUAAUAAGCUUAAAUAUGCAAUAUAACUAUUACAAGUCAGUUUCAGAAGUCAUACAUAUUGAACAUGUCACAGUAACUUCACCGGACAACGUAGAUACAUUGUGAUCGGUUAACACGAGUAAAGUUCGAUUAAUAAAAGCACGAUAAGCAAUAUAAGCUUCAACAACCAUACCAGACAACAUAUCAAAGCAUUAUAGCAGGUAAACAACUUUGCCAAACGGAUAACAGAUAAACAUUCAUUUAGACAACAAAGAUGCUGUCCUGAACUGUGUGAAUGUUUCUGAACUGAGUUGAGCAGCAUAGUUAGUUUCUCCAGCCAGAACAUGAGACAGCUGGUGCUGUGUCGAAGUCUGUUCCCCCUAUGUUUCCCCUUAGGUUAGAGUCGAAGUCUGUUCCCCCUAUGUUUCCCCUUAGGUUAAUUUCGAAGUCUGUUCCCCCUAUGUUUUCCCUUAGGUUAGUUUCGAAGUCUUUUCCCCCUAUGUUUCGCUUUAGGUUAGUUUCAAAGUCUGUUCCCAUGUUUUGCUUUUAGGUUAGUUUCAAAGUCUGUUCCCCCUUAGGUUAGUGUCGAAGUCUGUUUCCCCUGUUUAAUGGCGCUACGGGGAACAGACUUCGACAGAACACUAGCACUUCUUUCCUGUGUGCACUGACAUGAUGUAAUGACGCAAUGAUAAACAUCAUAAGCCAGCGAUUUUGUGCCAAAUCAAACUAGACAGCUCAAAAUACAAAUAUUUUUUUUAUAGGCUUACUGUAGUGAAUCGGGGUAAGGUAAGGACAUUGUUUUGAACACUAUAUGUACUCAAUCAAUAAUGGCACUUUGUUCAUUUUUAACCAAAAAAAAAAAAAAAAACUUAUAGUGCAGCUUUAAAAAUGUCAAUACAAUUUUCAUGUUAAUUUAAAUUAAUGUUUUAUGUAACUGUAUGAACCUGUGUCACAAUUACUUUUACCCAACAAUGUAAAUAACAGAAUUUCUUUAAGAAUAUUUGAGCCAUUUUGCUACUACUGUCUAAUAACAUUUUAUUUGUAGAAUUGUUUUUGAGCAUGGUAAUGACUUUUUAAUGCUACCAGAUAUUUAUGACUGUACAACAAAUACACAUGGGAUUUUAUUGCACUAUUUAACGGUAUUCAAUAUAAAGGUUUUGAGUCCUAAUACAAGUCUAACUUUUAAACUUAUUUCAAAUCAUAGCAUUUAAAAAUGGCAAAUACACAUUCACAACACAACACAGCUUUUUUGUUUGUUUAGAUUCAAAAUGAAUGCUAUAUACAGUUGUGCUCAAAAGUUUGCAUACCCUGGCAGAAAUUGUGAAAUUUUGGCAUUGAUUUUGAAAAUAGGACUGAUCAUGCUAAAAAAAAAAAUAAAAAAUAAAAAAUAAAAAAAAAAAUUUGUUAGCUCUCAUGUGGUUGCACUGAGCAGGCUAAAUACUGAGCCAUGGGGAGCAGAAAAGAACUGUCAAAAGACCUGCGUAACAAGGUAAUGGAACUUUAUAAAGAUGGAAAAGGAUAUAAAAAGAUAUCCAAAGCCUUGAAAAUGCCAGUCAGUACUGUUCAAUCACAAGGAGCCAAACAACUAUGUGAUGAUAAAUGACUUCAUAUAAUCACUAUCCUUAAAUAAAAGACAGUUUUUUUGCAUG